rnacentral:rRNA from 1 species
AUACGGAGGAUGCGAGCGUUAUCCGGAUUUAUUGGGUUUAAAGGGUGCGUAGGCGGAUUGGUAAGUCAGCGGUGAAACGCAAGGGCUCAACCCUUGACCUGCCGUUGAAACUGCCGGUCUUGAAUGCGGAUGCUGUGGGAGGAAUGUGUGGUGUAGCGGUGAAAUGCAUAGAUAUCACACAGAACACCGAUUGCGAAGGCAUCUCACAAAUCCGUGAUUGACGCUGAGGCACGAAAGUGUGGGGAUCAAACAGGAUUAGAUACCCUGGUAGUCCACACUGUAAACGAUGAUGACUAACCGUCGGCGAUAGACAGCCGGUGGCCAAGCGAAAGCGAUAAGUCAUCCACCUGGGGAGUACGUCGGCAACGAUGAAACUUAAAGGAAUUGACGGGG